CCAACACGGAUACCCUGGGAGGUCACUCUCCCUAGGCUCUGUCCAGGUGGUGCAGGGGAGCACAGGGUCAGCCCAGUGAAGUACAGUCCCACUCCACAACGUUGGAAAUGAAGUCGGGCUCCCGAGCCUGCACCUGCAUAUUCCUACAGCGUCUCUGAAUUAUACAGACAACUACUGAGGAGACAAAUCAUGCAGGAAACAGUU
rnacentral:snoRNA from 1 species